AUCCUGAGCCCUGUGUUCCUGCAUCCUGCUCAUCUUGGCUGAGCUUGGAAGCUAAGCAGGGUUGGGCCCAGUCAGUACCUGGAUGGGAGACUGCCUGGGAACACUGGGUGCUUGCUGCU
rnacentral:rRNA from 1 species